rnacentral:rRNA from 1 species
AUGAAUAAGGUAAAUCGAGAAGCUGUGAAGCAUCACCAAAAGAGAUCUAUGUCUUAUGUUGCCUAUUUCAGCAAACUUAAAAAAGACAAGUACAAUAAUCAGGACCCAAGUCCCAUUGAAUUUUUCAAAGACACCCAUACAAACAGCAAGACCGGUAGCAUGAGCGAGCCAGCACUUCUAGCUCAUAAUGCAAUGGAAAAGAAAAGGAAAACACAAUCAGAAGGUGAGCAGUCAGUAUCCGAUACAGCGAUUGUGGCUAAAGUUCUAAAGGGAAAAAACGCCCAUAGCACCUUCCUUUCCAGCAUGGGGUAUGCAUCAAGAUCCGGGAGGUCUGGAAGCUCUACUUCAUCAGCCCAGAUCAAAGUUCUAGAAGAAAGAAUUGAACAGAAGGAUAGAGAGGCAAGAGAUGCAAAUGAUAGGUAA